AAAAGCUGGUGGAGGCCUAACACAUGCAGUCGAGCGCGCCCUCCGGGGUGAGCGGCGGACGGGUUAGUAACGCGUGGGAAUAUGCCCAGAUCUACGGAAUAGCCUUUGGAAACGAAGAGUAAUACCGUAUACGCCCUUCGGGGGAAAGAUUUAUCGGAUUUGGAUUAGCCCGCGUUAGAUUAGGUAGUUGGUGGGGUAAUGGCCUACCAAGCCUACGAUCUAUAGCUGGUUUUAGAGGAUGAUCAGCAACACUGGGACUGAGACACGGCCCAGACUCCUACGGGAGGCAGCAGUGGGGAAUCUUGGACAAUGGGCGCAAGCCUGAUCCAGCCAUGCCGCGUGAGUGACGAAGGCCUUAGGGUCGUAAAGCUCUUUCGUCAGGGAUGAUAAUGACAGUACCUGGUAAAGAAACCCCGGCUAACUCCGUGCCAGCAGCCGCGGUAAUACGGAGGGGGUUAGCGUUGUUCGGAAUUACUGGGCGUAAAGCGCACGUAGGCGGAUUGGAAAGUUAGAGGUGAAAUCCCGGGGCUCAACCCCGGAACUGCCUUUAAAACUCCCAGUCUAGAGUUCGAGAGAGGUGAGUGGAAUUCCGAGUGUAGAGGUGAAAUUCGUAGAUAUUCGGAGGAACACCAGUGGCGAAGGCGGCUCACUGUCUCGAUACUGACGCUGAGGUGCGAAAGUGUGGGGGGCAGACAGGAUUAGAUACCCUGUAGGUCCACACCGUAGACGAUGAGUGCCAGUCGUCGGGUAGCAUGCUAUUCGGUGGCCCCACCUAACAGAUUAAGCAUUCAGCUUGGGGGAGUACGGUCGCAAGAUUAUAACUCAGAUGGACUUGACGG
rnacentral:rRNA from 1 species